rnacentral:lncRNA from 1 species
AGACUCAGCUUUAGAGUUGCAUAGCAUAUGAAGGCAGAAAAUUUUUCCUACCUGUCUGUGUCAACUCUUUGUCAAAAUACAUAAUACUAAGGAUUGUGAUUAAAAAUACUGCUGAGCUGGACAUGCCUUGCCAAUACUUUCUUCAUAAAAACGUAGGCCUUUUUUACCCAGUACUCUUAAGACUUUCUGCAGGCCUGCUGAUAAGACUCACUACUAUUCAGAGCAUAAUUAGUUAAUUAUGAAUAGGGAAAUACAAAGUUAUAUGGGGCUUGAGCACAGCAGGUUAUACUGCUGAAAAAUUUCCAAGGGCAUGAGCAGAUGGAGAUCAGUUUAUUAAAGAACAAAGCAGACAUGUUUCAGGUAUGGCAAUGUCUAAUCAUUCUCUGAUGCUGUGAAGAGGUACCUGACCUUAUUGUGUAUUUUUAUAUGAAUUAUUUUAUUUCAUGUUUUAUUUUUUUUAUUUCACUUUUUAUCUUCUAAUUUGGCUGUUGUAGAUGUAGCUAAUUGAAUUGAUCUCAUCAUUUAAGUGAUCAUUAAAUGUGAAUUUGGAUUUCAAUAAUUAUCUGAAUAUUUUUCAGAUUAAUACACUUUAAUAUGUAGAGAAUAUUUUUGUCCUUCUUAUUCAUUCAUUAUUGCUCAUGAUUUAAAAGUCUAUAUUGACAUUAAUGAAAAAAAUAUGUUCAAGACCUCCACAUUAGUCUUUAUUUGUGAUAUAUGAUAUAAAAGACAUUUUCUAAUUAUUUUAUUUAGAAAAUGCUCAUAUAGGUGAUUUACACUAAAAGUGCUGUGAAAUAUAAGGAAUAAAGUUUCCCGUUAUUUCUAUUAGAUAUUAUUCUAAUAUUGGUAGAAUGAAGAAUUUUGUGCAAUCUUGUAUUAUCUUAAAAGUGAUUUAACUCAUGGGCCACAAACCUGCAUUUUUCUCCAUCUAUUAAAAUGAGUUAUUGAAAUAAUUGGCUACUUACUGUUCAGUGAAAGAGUCUAUCACUGCUGGUUAAUACAUUUGUGUAGGUGUUCCAGCUGCUAGCAAGAUUUUGUGUAAGUAAUGUUAAUAUUCAAGACCAAUUCUUUUCAUCUUUCUUACAUAGAAUUUUUACAUAGAAAUGAUGAAAAAGUAAGAAAAUCCAACCCAUCAAUUCUCUUGGCAUUUAGUUGUGUUUUGUUUUGUUUUAUAAGUGAACAGAUGUAAGAGUAUAUUCUCAGAGUCACUUCUUUAGUCUAUAUAGACUUAGAAGGGAUCUAAAUCAUGUUUAUUGACAUAAAAAAUAGCUGUGAUUAUGAAUCAACCUAUAUAUCAUGUUUCAAGUCCCAUAUUGUGGAUUUCUUCCAAAAUUUAGCUCAUCAUCUAGCUAUAAAUUAUAUAUAUGGGAGAUGCACUUAAUUUCUUGAUUAGUUUGAAAAAGUUAUCUAGUGUACUCUCUGGGAAAAUUAUCAAUUGGAAAUAAAGGGAAUUUAAGAAACCCUUGGGAGGAGUUUCCAUUUUGGCUCAGUGGUAACAAACACAACUAGUAUCCAUGAGAAUGUGGGUUCGAUCCCUGGCCUCACUCAGUAGGUUGAGGAUCCAGCAUUGGCCGUGAGCUGUGAUGUAGGUGUAGGUAGUAGACGCAGCUCGGAUCUGGUAUUGCUGUGGCUGUGUAGGCCGGCAGCUGCAGCUCUAUCCCUAGCCUAGGAACCUCCCCAUGCUGCAGGUGUGGCACUAAAA